rnacentral:RNase_P_RNA from 1 species
CAAGUUGGUUGGAUAGUCGCCGUUUUGCUCUUACAGGGUAAAGGGGAGGAAAGUCCGGACUCCGCAGGGCAGCGUGCCGGAUAACGUCCGGGCAGUGCAAGCUGACAGCCAGUGCAACAGAGAGCAGACCGCCCGGCCGCUUGAUUCUUGGUAAUUAAGUGGCCGGGUAAGGGUGAAAGGGUGUGGUAAGAGCACACCGCAUCGGUGGCAACAUUCGGUGGCAAGGUAAACCUCACGCGGAGCAAGACCAAAUAGGAAAGCAAUAACUGCGGUUAUAACGGCGGCCCGUCGUGCUUUCGGGUAGGUUGCUUGACCCCCAUAGCAAUAUAGGGGCUAGAUAAAUGACUAUCUCGGCAGACGCUAGACAGAAUCCGGCUUACAGACCAACUUAUUUU